rnacentral:siRNA from 1 species
UGGGUUCGGGUAUUAUGCCCAGGU